ensembl:lncRNA
UGCUCCAGCCCCGAACUAUCCUAUCAGCAGGCCACUGGGCAGGACCCUGCUACAGGAUGUGCCCCCAGGAGGACCACCCUCUGACCCACAGUCGGGACAUGUACACUUCUGACCGGUCCAGGUCUAGAGGACUUAAUGAUAGGUUGGCCCUUCUCAAAGGUGUUCCUGCUGUCCUCUCAACGUCUUGAUGUCCCUGCAGCUCCACUUUAUCACCACUAGAUGGCAGACUUCUCCCUGUUUCUGGUCCCUGUUAGAGGAUAAGAACAUGUUCCAGUCCAGACUGCAAGCUGCUGCUUUUUCCUCCACAUGUCGCAUUUCUGAUGUCCUGUAGAGUCGCUGAUCCACAGGUGAUCGAUCCACAGCUGUGUCCUGCAGGAGGAGCACCAGCUCAGACACUGGAUGGCAGCAGGAGGCUCUGUGUGUGUUUAAUGUGUAAUAAAAGUGUCUGUAACUGUCCUGUGAUGGAGCCCUGUCACGCUCGGUCCUUUUAUUUCAUUAUAUCUGUUUCAAUAAACGCGUCCCCGCU